CCUCGGCGGCAGCAGUGGGGAAUAUUGGACAAUGGGCGAAAGCCUGAUCCAGCCAUGCCGCGUGUGUGAAGAAGGCCUUCGGGUUGUAAAGCACUUUCAGUGGGGAAGAAAGCCUUGGGGCUAAUACCCUCGAGGAAGGACAUCACCCACAGAAGAAGCACCGGCUAACUCCGUGCCAGCAGCCGCGGUAAUACGGAGGGUGCGAGCGUUAAUCGGAAUUACUGGGCGUAAAGCGCGCGUAGGCGGUCUGAUAAGCCGGUUGUGAAAGCCCCGGGCUCAACCUGGGAACGGCAUCCGGAACUGUCAGGCUAGAGUGCAGGAGAGGAAGGUAGAAUUCCCGGUGUAGCGGUGAAAUGCGUAGAGAUCGGGAGGAAUACCAGUGGCGAAGGCGGCCUUCUGGACUGACACUGACGCUGAGGUGCGAAAGCGUGGGUAGCAAACAGGAUUAGAUACCCCUGUAGUC
rnacentral:rRNA from 1 species